UGGGGAAAAUAACUUAUCAUGCUCAAUACCUGAAUGGUUAGGGGCUAGUCUUCCAAAUUUGGGUAUCUUAAUCCUUCGAGGUAAUCAGUUCUAUAGCAGCAUCCCGCCCCAAUUAUGCCAUCUGACACACAUUCAAAUUUUGGAUUUAUCGAUGAACAACAUCUCUGGAACUAUACCCAAAUGUCUCAACAAUUUGAGUGCUUUGACUCAAAAAGGAAAUUCAAGUCUAACUAUCCAACAUUACUAUACAUAUCAGUUGGAUAAAGUAUUAAUUUCUUGGCCUUAUGAUAAUGAAGCAUCUUUAACAUGGAAAGGGGUAAGGUCUAAAUACAAAAGUACUCUGGGACUUGUAAAGAGUAUUGAUCUCUCAAGCAAUAAGUUGAUUGGAGAGAUUCCUAGUGAAGUCACUGAUCUUGUUGGUUUGGUUUCUUUAAACCUGUCAAGAAACCAAUUAACAGUUCAAAUACCUCCAAGGAUUGGAAUGUUGCAGGAGUUAGAUUCCCUUGAUUUAUCAAGAAACUAGAUUAAUGGCAGAAUUCCAAAAAGCCUAUCUUGGAUAGAUCGUAUUGGUUACUUGGACUUGUCAGAAAACGACUUGUCUGGAAAAAUUCCAAUAGGCACUCAGCUCCAAAGCUUUGGUCCAUCUUCUUAUGGUGGAAAUCCUCUACUUUGUGGACUGCCACUUCUAAGGACAUGCACUGAGGAGGAAAAAGGUCUAGGACAAACUGUGUUGGUGAAUCAAGACGAUAAAGAUGGGCUCAUAACGUAAGGAUUUUACAUCAGCUUGGGGCUUGGGUUUGCUAUUGGAUUUUGGGGAGUUUUUGGCACUCUUCUAUUCAACAGGUCAUGCAGAUAUACAUACUUCAAUUUCUGGACUUGUUUCAUAGAUUGGCUGUACGUGAAGGCAGAAAUCAUCAGACAAAAGAUACCUCAUACUAGAUAAAUGGCACUUUUGAAACAACAUACUUAGUUGAAGAUGGACGAGAUGAAGGACCGCUAUUUGUACUAGCUUUCGAAUACUUGAGUGAUGAUGAUAAGGGAUCUCACUAAAAUAAAGGAACCAUUUAUUUUUAGAGUAAAUGAGUUGUACCGUUAUUCGUAGGAACUUAACGGGAACUUCACCCAUGAAGUAUUUGGUA